AACGAACGCUGGCGGCAUGCCUAACACAUGCAAGUCGAACGAGAUCUUCGGGUCUAGUGGCGCACGGGUGCGUAACGCGUGGGAAUCUGCCCUUUGGUUCGGAAUAACAGUUGGAAACGACUGCUAAUACCGGAUGAUGACGAAAGUCCAAAGAUUUAUCGCCAGAGGAUGAGCCCGCGUAGGAUCAGCUAGUUGGGGUGGUAAAGGCGCACCAAGGCGACGAUCCUUAGCUGGUCUGAGAGGAUGAUCAGCCACACUGGGACGUGAGACACGGCCCAGACUCCUACGGGAGGCAGCAGUGGGGAAUAUUGGACAAUGGGCGAAAGCCUGAUCCAGCAAUGCCGCGUGAGUGAUGAAGGCCUUAGGGUUGUAAAGCUCUUUUACCCGGGAUGAUAAUGACAGUACCGGGAGAAUAAGCUCCGGCUAACUCCGUGCCAGCCGCCGCCGUAA
rnacentral:rRNA from 1 species